ACAUGGUUGGGCCUCUCUUCUCUUCUCCCUCUAUCAAACCGAUCCUCUCCUUGUCAUCGCUGCUAUCUUACCCGUCGUCUCCACUGCCUCGUCGUCAUCACCGCUCGAGAAGAAGCCCGCGCUGCCGCUGCCAUUGUUGUGGCCGCAAGGAAGCCGGCCUCGUCAUCGCUGGGAAAGAGCGGCCUCGUCGUCAUCGCGAAGGAGCUGGCCUCGUCGUCGUCGCGAAGGAGCCGGCCUCAUCGUCGCCCCAAAUUGAAACUCAGUUGAAGAGAGCUGCUUGGAGAGGUAAACUGAAUGUGCACGAACCUUCAUUUGCAUGUUGAAAAGAGCUAAAUCUCUCUUCAUACGCUACGAUGUCAAACACAAGUUGUUUUGAAUAGAGCAGAUGCUUGGAGUACCUGUAAUUGAAGCCAAAAAAAAAAAUUUACAUGUGAGUUCCACUUAUAUCCAUCGUUCUAACAAUUCAAUUAUGUAUGGAAACUUACCAACUAAAGUUGAUUUGGUCAAGUAUUUAUCUGAAUGGGUAAUUUUCGGCUUCUUUGGUAGUACGAGAUUUUUAUCUCAGAUAAAGAGAAUCACUUCAUGGGAGUUCAAUUCGCAUUCAGAAACUGUAGUUGCUAUAACGAUUAGUAAUCCAGAUAUUGAACCAGCAGCCGCAAAAAGUGGAAGUAAUAUAGGACUCAUGUGCUUUGAUUUUUAGUUUGGGUUUCUUGUUAUUUCAUCACUAGAGAAAGAAAAGGAAAGAAUAAUAAAAAAAAAAGAUCUUGUCUUUGAGACUGGAUGAUAAUUUCAAAAAUGGGAUUGGAUCCAAAAAAUUUGUUCUUACAAUGAACUGAUUGUAGCCACCAAUAAUUUUUCAGAUAAUGAGAAGCUUAGUGAAGGAGGUUUUGAUGUUGUCUACAGAGGUUUCUUGAAGGAUCUCAUUGCUAUGUUGUUGUUAACGGAGUGUUAAGGGAGCCUAAACAAGGGAUCAAAGAGUAUAAGCAGCCAACCAUUAGUUUAAAGAGAACAUAAAGGGGAAAGUUGGAACCCUUGAAGGAGACGGUAGAUUAGAACAUUUUCCCCAAUAAAAAAAAAAAAAAAAUUAUAGGGUUAGAGUUUGGGAAAAGUAUUAAAAGUUAACUAUGAUUAACUUUUUCUUUUUUUUUUUUUUAAUUUGUAUGAUGUCAUGUGACUAUGCAAAAUAAUAAUAAAUUAAUUGACGUGGCACGCCACGUAAAUGGAAACUCACUCUUUCAAUUCUCAUUAAUUUGAAAUCAGGAUAAAAUUUUAAUAAAUUUUUUAAAAUUAAUUUAUUGUGUCAAAAUUAAAAAGUGAAGAUUAAAUUAUAAAAUAAUAUAAACCUAAAUUUUUUAGCGUUAAUAGCCCUUAAUUAAUUAUUAAACUCAUUUUUAUAAUAGACUAACCUUAUAAUGAACACUAGAAACGUGUUGUUUUAAUUCUGGUUCAAAGGCUGCAAAGAACUAGAACUGAACAGAAUUUCAAUAUAGUUCCAUUGGGCUCUUAGCUAUUUUAAUUUUGAUUCGAAUCAUUCUUAGUCUUUUAGUUGUCAUACGAUUCUAAUACAAGUUUUGAUCCUUAAAAUAACUUUGUACAAAUGUUUUCACAAAAACAUCAUACUUGAAUCACAGUUUUAAGUUUUAAAAUUUAAUAUUAAUUUAUAAUAUGUUUAUAUCAUACACGUUGAUCUUAUUUCUUAAUUAGUUAAACAUAAAGUAGCAGUAUAAGCAUAUCAUAUAGUAUACCUUCUACGUAUUUCUGAAUUAUGUAAUGUUUAAUUAUAAUAUGCACAUAAAGAAACACUACUAAGGAUGCAUAUACUUUAAAAGUGAGAAUGAAAUCCAUGUACAUGAGAGAGAGAGCCUUAGCUCCUUAGCACUCAAAUAGUUCAUAAAUGAUACGGCAAAGCCAAGACAGGCUUCGUGCCAGUAAGAAUCACUGCAAUGGAGUUUGGUCGAGUAUAUUUUCAAUUUCUGAUAACACCGACAGAAUGAAGUAACAUUUACAUAAAAUCAAAAUUAAAUUGAAGUACCACCGAUAGAAAACCAUUUUGGUGUAUCUAUAUACAUAUAUAUAAACUACAUGAAUAAUAAUGUAACCAAUUGUAUCAUAGAUGGACAAAGCAUUGAUAGCACUUGCUACAAAAUAGAAAAUCUUAUGUCAUCUAAAUGAGCAACGAAUCUAAAAUUUAAAUGCAAAAAUGAUACUUGAAGAAAAACAUAAAUUUGGGGAUGAAACUGUCAACUGUCAUUUCAAAAAAAAUGGCAAUGCCAAGCCCAUCUGUUCACCAAUUGAUUAGUAUGUUCAAGGUUUUUGCCUAGAACCAAGAAAAUGAAGCUAAGCAGAGAGCCAUAGAAACAAGGAACUAAUAUUUGCUUAGAUUCAAGGGGAAAUGCUUCUUAUGGAAGCGUAUAUUGUUUCUAUACACAUUGAAACAGAUCACAGCAUUCUGCUCCAUUUUUACAGCCGAGGUUUGGAAUGUACCCAUUCCUUUUGGUAAAACUUUAAUCACAAUCUUAUUUUACAGCCUCAAAGGAAGAGGACCAAAACAAUAUCAUAUACCUUUUAGACAAUUACAUACAUCAAACUAAUGAAAGAAUUGCAUCCGCUGUUGCAUUCAAUAUUGCCAACAGGAGAACGUCGACAAGCCCUGAAAUAAAAGGGAAAAGGAAAGCAAAAGAAUAUUUGUUAGUUAAUCUAUCUAUAAUAAUAUGGUCUAAUUUGCAAUAAAAAUGUCAUCCGCAAUGAAGCCAGCAAUGGUCCUCUGUCCCGGUGAAUAGAAUGAAAGAGGUGCAAAACUAUAUGCUUCUCAAUUUUUUUUUUUUUUGGGGGGUGGGGGGUUCAUUUUUUAAAUUUUUUUCUCAAAAAUGUCCUUGCCAUGUCCAGUAAGUAAACAAAAGCAACGAGGAACUUAUAUGAAUCCAG
rnacentral:lncRNA from 1 species